UCUCCAGGAUAAGAACUGGUCAACUGGUCUUCUGAUAUCUUUCCUGGGACAAUUCUGUGCAUUUCGUGUAGUUUAACCCACCCUUUCCUUAAUGAAUUCUCUCAAGUUGAGAGUGUCCGUAGUCAUAGGACAUAAUAUAGCCUCAUGCUAUACUUGAAAAGCUUUGGAUUUAGAAAGAUAAAAGGCAGGUUUGAGCCUUGACUCCACCAAUUACUAGACAACCCACGGUUUCCCCAUGAAGUAAAAGGCAAGUAACAGAGAUAAUACUUAGGAAGACUAUUGUGAAGAUCAAUGAGGAAAUGUCUGAAACUCUCAGCAGUGCAACUCCAUGACGAGAGAGAUGAAGUGAUCACCUUGAAGUCACACACUCAGCAGGACGACAAAUCCGCGCAGCCCGAGGCGAUGGAGAUCCCGCCCAGUUCCAGAUCGGAGAUCCCGGCCUACACCUGCGACCCCUCUUUACCCCCGCGGACCUCGAUUUUCCAUCAGACUUGGCCCAGAGGCCUCGAGGACAGUCCGGCGAGGUCCUCUUCCGCUCCCAGCGGCCCC